rnacentral:rRNA from 1 species
GACGAACGCUGGCGGCGUGCUUAACACAUGCAAGUCGAACGGUGAUGCUCCAGCUUGCUGGAGUGGAUCAGUGGCGAACGGGUGAGUAACACGUGAGCAACCUGCCCCAGACUCUGGAAUAAGCGCUGGAAACGGCGUCUAAUACUGGAUACGAAACUGGCCCGCAUGGGCAUGGUUUGGAAAGUUUUUCGGUUUGGGAUGGGCUCGCGGCCUAUCAGCUUGUUGGUGAGGUAAUGGCUCACCAAGGCGACGACGGGUAGCCGGCCUGAGAGGGCGACCGGCCACACGGGGACUGGGACACGGCCAGGACCCCUACGGGGGGCAGCAGGGGGGAAUAUUGCACAAGGGGCGAAAGCCUGAUGCAGCGACGCCGGGUGGGGGAUGACGGCCUUCGGGUUGUAAACCUCUUUCAGCAGGGAAGAAGCGAAAGUGGCGGUACCGGCAGAAGAAGCACCGGCUAAAUACGU